UACGGGGGGGGCAAGCGUUGUUCGGAAUUACUGGGCGUAAAGGGCUCGUAGGUGGCCAACUAAGUCGGACGUGAAAUCCCUCAGCUUAACUGGGUAACUGCGUCCGAUACUGGAUGGCUUGAGUUUGGGAGAGGGAUGCGGAAUUCCAGGUGUAGCGUUGAAAUGCGUAGAUAUCGGGAGGAACACCAGUGGCGAAGGCGACUUCCUGGCCUGUUCUUGACGCUGAGGCGCGAAAGCUAGGGGAGCAAACGGG
rnacentral:rRNA from 1 species